rnacentral:misc_RNA from 1 species
GAAAUGCGAUAAGUAGUGUGAAUUGCAGAAUUCAGUGAAUCAUCGAAUCUUUGAACGCACAUUGCGCCCCUUGGUAUUCCAUGGGGCAUGCCUGUUCGAGCGUCAUCUACACCCUCAAGCUCUGCUUGGUGUUGGGCGUCUGUCCCGCCUACGUGCGCGGACUCGCCCCAAAUUCAUUGGCAGCGGUCCUUGCCUCCUCUCGCGCAGCACAUUGCGCUUCUCGAGGUGCGCGGCCCGCGUCCACGAAGCAACACUACCGUCUUUGACCUCGGAUCAGGUAGGGAUACCCGCUGAACUUAAGC